rnacentral:rRNA from 1 species
CACCGCGGUUAUACGAGAGGCUCUAGUUGACGAACUACGGCGUAAAGCGUGGUCACGGAGAGCAAUCAAUACUAAAGCCAAACGCCUCCCAGGCUGUCAUACGCAUCCGGAGGUACGAAGCCCAAUAACGAAAGUAGCUUUAUUACCGCCAACCUGACCCCACGACAACUGAGAAA